CCUGGCUCAGAGCGAACGCUGGCGGCAGGCCUAACACAUGCAAGUCGAACGCCCCUUCGGGGGAGUGGCGGACGGGUGAGUAACGCGUGGGAACGUGCCCUUUGGUACGGAACAACUGAGGGAAACUUCAGCUAAUACCGUAUGUGCCCUAUGGGGGAAAGAUUUAUCGCCAUUGGAGCGGCCCGCGUUAGAUUAGCUAGUUGGUAGGGUAAUGGCCUACCAAGGCGACGAUCUAUAGCUGGUCUGAGAGGAUGAUCAGCCACACUGGGACUGAGACACGGCCCAGACUCCUACGGGAGGCAGCAGUGGGGAAUCUUGCGCAAUGGGCGAAAGCCUGACGCAGCCAUGCCGCGUGAAUGAUGAAGGUCUUAGGAUUGUAAAAUUCUUUCACCGGGGACGAGUAAUGACGGUACCCGGAGAAGAAGCCCCGGCUAACUUCGUGCCAGCAGCCGCGGUAAUACGAAGGGGGCUAGCGUUGCUCGG
rnacentral:rRNA from 1 species